UACAGCUUGGUAAUUUAAAAUAAUUUACAUUUUUAACAAUUUUCGGCGACCAAGCGACUAGAAUUUUGUAAAUUUAAGAACAACUUUCAUUUGGUACCUAUCCCAUUUUAAUCCUUGGUUUCUCUUGUAGAGAUAUGAAAACUGAUGCCAGUAGCCUAUUAACAAAUCAUGAUAGAAGUGACAGUAAUUUGAACCAAUGUAUAACUUCCACUGCCAAUGUGAACACUAGAGGACAACGUUUUAUGUGUAUCAUUUGCCAGAAACCAUUGUUAAACAAACAUUAUUUAGAUAUAGGUACACAUGAUGAGGAUACACAUUGGGGAAAAACCAAUUAAAUGUGAAAUUUGCAACAAACAAUUUUCAACAAACAGUCGUUUAAAAACACAUAUGUCAGUUCAUACUGGUGAAAGACGGUUUAAAUGUGAAACUUACAACAAACAAUUUUCAACAAAACAAGGUUUAAAAAGGCAUAUUAUGAGGGCGCAUAAUGGUGAAGACCCAUUUGA
rnacentral:lncRNA from 1 species